rnacentral:rRNA from 1 species
UACGGGGGGAGCAAGCGUUGUUCGGAUUUACUGGGCGUAAAGGGCGCGUAGGCGGUAGCACAAGUCAGUUGUGAAAUCUCCGGGCUUAACUCGGAAAGGUCAACUGAUACUGUGCGACUAGAGUGCAGAAGGGGCAACUGGAAUUCUCGGUGUAGCGGUGAAAUGCGUAGAUAUCAGGAGGAACACCAAUGGCGAAGGCAGCUCGCUGGAACGGAACUGACGCUGAGGCGCGAAAGCGUGGGGAGCGAACAGG